CAGCAGUGGGGAAUAUUGCACAAUGGGCGCAAGCCUGAUGCAGCCAUGCCGCGUGUGUGAAGAAGGCCUUCGGGUUGUAAAGCACUUUCAGUCGUGAGGAAGGUGGUAGUGUUAAUAGCACUAUCAUUUGACGUUAGCGACAGAAGAAGCACCGGCUAACUCCGUGCCAGCAGCCGCGGUAAUACGGUAGGGGCAAGCGUUAUCCGGAAUCACGUGGGCGUAAAGGGUGCGUAGGUCGGUUUUUCAAGUCAGAAGUGAAAGGCUAUGGCUCAACCAUAGUAAGCUUUUGAAACUGUUAAACUUGAGUGCAGGAGAGGAAAGUGGAAUUCCUAGUGUAGAGGUGAAAUUCGUAGAUAUUAGGAGGAACACCAGUGGCGAAGGCGACUUUCUGGACUGUAACUGACGCUGAGGCACGAAAGCGUGGGGAGCGAACAGGAUUAGAUACCCUGGUAG
rnacentral:rRNA from 1 species